UGCUUGAAUCACAGACGUAGCAACACAAGUUAUAAAUCGCGCUACAAAUAGAACACGAAACAAAAUUUAAAUAAUAAAAACUAUAAAAGGAAUAGUGUUAACUAUUUUUAAAUUUAAAAAAUAUAAAGCUUAACAAAUAAAAAUAACCUUUUAUUUUUAAUAAGUAAUAAAUUUUUUAAAAUAAAACUUAUUUUAUAAAAAUUAAAUAAAGUGUUCCAAAUUCAAAAUUUAUAUUAGUUUAGUACUUUAAAAAAUGUAUAGAAGCGUUUUAGUAGUUUCGUGUUUAUUAUCUCUAGUUGUAAGCGGAAGCGAAUUUAGUUGUUAUUUUAAUAAUGCGUGCCCUUUUCAAAUGUUCGGGUCAAAAACACCAUAUGAUACAGGCAGAGGCGAUUUAAGAGAUUUUAAGAAAUUGGAAGGUUGCGAAGCAGUUAGCCUGUGGUCGAUCCACCGGCACGGCAAUCGGAAUCCGGGCAGUUCAGUGACCGCGGCCGUCAAGGUCAUAGCUGGCUUGAAGGACCAGAUCGUGCAGGCCUUCGAUCAGGGGAGCAGCUUGUUGUGUGCUACGGACAUCGAUGAAUUUCGAAAAUGGACGUGGAACGAGACUUUAGAGACUACUCCGUCAUACCUCACCGGCGUUGGCUAUGAAGAACUCUACGGCAUCGGCUCCAGAAUCCGGGCCGCUUACCCUGAACUCCUGAAUGGGUCCACGGAAGACUAUUACUUCAGACCCACGAAUUACCAGCGGACAAUCACCAGUGCUAUGGGUUUUGUCCAUGGGUUGACUGAUGGAACAAGCUUGAAGGUAGCAAUUGAUGAGCCUCGGGAUGUGGACGAUGUCAUUCAACCAUAUGCAAAUUGCCAAAAAUAUCAAGAAACGGUCAGAGAUGCCCCUAUAUUGGAUAAAGUCGUUGCGGAGUUGGAAUCUUCCCCCGAUUAUGCUGCUAUCAGACACGCAGUACAGAAACGCCUGGGCAUCGCAUAUCAGAUCACUACAGAAGACGUAUUUUCCAUCUAUGAGCUGUGCCGGUUCUACCGAUCCUGGGAUGAGAAGAAGCAGUCGCCAUGGUGCUCUAUGUUCACUAAUGAAGAGCUGGUUAUACUUGACUACAGGGACGAUUUGAGGCAUUAUUAUCGGAAUGGCUACGGAUCUUGGGUGAACAGUCGUCUAGGAGAACAGCCUCUUAGAGACCUCUACCAGAAGCUAUCAGCAGCUACCCAGGGUCAGGGUCAAAAGAUAGUCUCGUACUUCUCCCACGAUGCCAUGAUGGAGAUGGUCUACUGCGCGUUGCAACUGUUCAAUGAUCGGGAACCACUCCGGGGAGAUAACAGGAAUCCUGAUAGACUUUGGAGGACAAGCUAUAUAGGAGCCAUGGCUAUUAAUAUGAUUACCGUUUUGAACAGGUGUCAAGAGUCGGGGACUGAAGCCUACAGAGUCCAGAUCUUCGUAGGCGAGAAGGUCACUGAACUUUGUCCCGUCGAGGGUUGCUCUUGGGAAGAAUUUGAACAUAUGUUUAAACAGUUCAAUGACACCAAUCUGAACUUCUGUGCCUUGGACUAUCCUGAACCGGAGGAUCCUAUGCCCUGCUGUUUACCUGACAGUGCUGCCGUCCAUAGUAUUAGCUGGGUUGUUUUAUUACUUUUGAUAGGGAUUUCUAGAUUCUGGUGACAUAUUUUAAAUAUACUAGUGAUAAAUGAGGUUUUAAUGAUUUGUAAAUUAAGUAUGUACGGUCACAAGCAUUAAUAUGUAUACACUUUGGUAC
rnacentral:misc_RNA from 1 species